UCCUACGGAUGAGCAAAGAAGUGGCUUCUUGAGAUGGAAUCUACUCCUGGUGAAGAUGCUGUGAA
rnacentral:pre_miRNA from 2 species